rnacentral:rRNA from 1 species
GGGUGAGUAACACGUGGGUAACCUGCCUGUAAGACUGGGAUAACUCCGGGAAACCGGGGCUAAUACCGGAUGGUUGUUUGAACCGCAUGGUUCAAACAUAAAAGGUGGCUUCGGCUACCACUUACAGAUGGACCCGCGGCGCAUUAGCUAGUUGGUGAGGUAACGGCUCACCAAGGCAACGAUGCGUAGCCGACCUGAGAGGGUGAUCGGCCACACUGGGACUGAGACACGGCCCAGACUCCUACGGGAGGCAGCAGUAGGGAAUCUUCCGCAAUGGACGAAAGUCUGACGGAGCAACGCCGCGUGAGUGAUGAAGGUUUUCGGAUCGUAAAGCUCUGUUGUUAGGGAAGAACAAGUACCGUUCGAAUAGGGCGGUACCUUGACGGUACCUAACCAGAAAGCCACGGCUAACUACGUGCCAGCAGCCGCGGUAAUACGUAGGUGGCAAGCGUUGUCCGGAAUUAUUGGGCGUAAAGGGCUCGCAGGCGGUUUCUUAAGUCUGAUGUGAAAGCCCCCGGCUCAACCGGGGAGGGUCAUUGGAAACUGGGGAACUUGAGUGCAGAAGAGGAGAGUGGAAUUCCACGUGUAGCGGUGA